AUUGAACGCUGGCGGCAGGCCUAACACAUGCAAGUCGAACGAGUGGCGGACGGGUGAGUAAUGUCUGGGAAACUGCCUGAUGGAGGGGGAUAACUACUGGAAACGGUAGCUAAUACCGCAUACCAUCGGAUGUGCCCAGAUGGGAUUAACUAGUAGGUGGGGUAAAGGCUCACCUAGGCGACGAUCCCUAGCUGGUCUGAGAGGAUGACCAGCCACACUGGAACUGAGACACGUUCCAGACUCCGACGGGAGGCAGCAGUGGGGAAUAUUGCACAAUGGGCGCAAGCCUGAUGAAGCCAUGCCGCGAGGAUGAAGAAGGCCGUCGGGUUGUAAAGUACGCUCAGCGGGGAGGCGUUAACCGCAGAAGAAGCACCGGCUAACUCCGUGCCAGCAGCCGCGGUAAUUC
rnacentral:rRNA from 1 species